UAGUACCGGUUCGUGGCACGAACC
rnacentral:miRNA from 1 species